rnacentral:rRNA from 1 species
UACGUAGGGGGCAAGCGUUGUCCGGAUUUAUUGGGCGUAAAGAGCGUGUAGGCGGCCAGGUAGGUCCGUUGUGAAAACUCGAGGCUCAACCUCGAGACGUCGGCGGAAACCCUCUGGCUAGAGUCCGGAAGAGGAGAGUGGAAUUCCUGGUGUAGCGGUGAAAUGCGCAGAUAUCAGGAAGAACACCCGUGGCGAAGGCGGCUCUCUGGGACGGUACUGACGCUGAGACGCGAAAGCGUGGGAGCAAACAGG